rnacentral:rRNA from 1 species
GAUGAACGCUGGCGGCGUGCCUAAUACAUGCAAGUCGAGCGAACGGACGAGAAGCUUGCUUCUCUGAUGUUAGCGGCGGACGGGUGAGUGACACGUGGAUAACCUACCUAUAAGACUGGGAUAACUUCGGGAAACCGGAGCUAAUACCGGAUAAUAUUUUGAACCGCAUGGUUCAAAAGUAAAAGACGGUCUUGCUGUCACUUAUAGAUGGAUCCGCGCUGCAUUAGCUAGUUGGUAAGGUAACGGCUUACCAAGGCAACGAUGCAUAGCCGACCUGAGAGGGUGAUCGGCCACUCUGGAACUGAGACACUGUCCAGACUGCUACGGGAUUCCGCAGUAGUGAAUCUUCCGCAAUGGGCGAAAGCCUGACGGAGCAGCGCCGCGUGAGUGAUGAAGGUCUUCGGAUCGUAUAACUCUGUUAUUAGGGAAGAACAUAUGUGUAAGUAACUGUGCACAUCUUGACGGUACCUAAUCAGAAAGCCACGUCUAACUACGUG